rnacentral:rRNA from 1 species
CUGCCUGAUGGAGGGGGAUAACUACUGGAAACGGUAGCUAAUACCGCAUAAUGUCGCAAGACCAAAGUGGGGGACCUUCGGGCCUCAUGCCAUCAGAUGUGCCCAGAUGGGAUUAGCUUGUAGGUGGGGUAACGGCUCACCUAGGCGACGAUCCCUAGCUGGUCUGAGAGGAUGACCAGCCACACUGGAACUGAGACACGGUCCAGACUCCUACGGGAGGCAGCAGUGGGGAAUAUU